AUUGAACGCUGGCGGCAUGCCUAACACAUGCAAGUCGAACGGAAACGAUGGGAGCUUGCUCCCAGGCGUCGAGUGGCGGACGGGUGAGUAAUGCUUAGGAAUCUGCCCAGUAUGGGGGACAACCAGAAGAAAUUCUGGCUAAUACCGCAUACGCACUACGGUGGAAAGUGGGGGACCUUCGGGGCCUCACGCUAUUGGAUGAGCCUAAGUCGGAUUAGCUUGUUGGUAGGGUAAUGGCCUACCAAGGCGACGAUCCGUAGCUGGUCUGAGAGGACGAUCAGCCACACUGGGACUGAGACACGGCCCAGACUCCUACGGGAGGCAGCAGUGGGGAAUAUUGGACAAUGGGCGCAAGCCUGAUCCAGCAAUGCCGCGUGUGUGAAGAAGGCCUGCGGGUUGUAAAGCACUUUCAGUAGAGAAGAAAAGCCUAGGGUUAAUAACCCUGAGUCUUGACGUAACCUACAGAAGAAGCACCGGCUAACUCCGUG
rnacentral:rRNA from 1 species